rnacentral:rRNA from 1 species
GGUUGCAAUCAUACCAGCACUAAUGCAUUGGAUCCCAUCAGAACUCCGCAGUUAAGCGUGCUUGGGCGAGAGUUGUACUAGGAUGCGUGACCGCCUGGGAAGUCCUCGUGUUGCAACCC